AACGUAGGACGCAAGCGUUAUCCGGAGUUACUGGGCGUAAAGCGCGCGCAGGCGGAUUGUUAAGUUAGCCAUGAAAGCUCCCGGCUAAACUGGGAGAGGCUGGUUAAUACUGGCAGUCUAGAGUGAGUGAGAGGGAAGUGGAAUUCAGCGUGUAGUGGUGAAAUGCGUAGAGAUGCUGAGGAACACCAGAGGCGAAGGCG
rnacentral:rRNA from 1 species